rnacentral:rRNA from 1 species
GAUGAACGCUGGCGGCGUGCCUAAUACAUGCAAGUCGAACGCAUAGCGAAAGGUGCUUGCCCCUUUCAAGUGAGUGGCGAACGGGUGAGUAACACGUGGACAACCUGCCUCAAGGCUGGGGAUAACAUUUGGAAACAGAUGCUAAUACCGAAUAAAACUUAGUGUCGCAUGACACAAAGUUAAAAGGCGCUUCGGCGUCACCUAGAGAUGGAUCCGCGGUGCAUUAGUUAGUUGGUGGGGUAAAGGCCUACCAAGACAAUGAUGCAUAGCCGAGUUGAGGGACUGAUCGGCCACAUUGGGACUGAGACACGGCCCAAACUCCUACGGGAGGCUGCAGUAGGGAAUCUUCCACAAUGGGCGAAAGCCUGAUGGAGCAACGCCGCGUGUGUGAUGAAGGCUUUCGGGUCGUAAAGCACUGUUGUAUGGGAAGAACAGCUAGAAUAGGAAAUGAUUUUAGUUUGACGGUACCAUACCAGAAAGGGACGGCUAAAUACGUG